rnacentral:rRNA from 1 species
CGAGCGAAGUUUUCUGGUGCUUGCACUAGAAAAACUUAGCGGCGAACGGGUGAGUAACACGUAAAGAACCUGCCUCAUAGACGGGGACAACUAUUGGAAACGAUAGCUAAUACCGGAUAACAGCAUAAAUCGCAUGAUAUAUGUUUAAAAGUUGGUUUCGGCUAACACUAUGAGAUGGCUUUGCGGUGCAUUAGCUAGUUGGUGGGGUAAAGGCCUACCAAGGCGACGAUGCAUAGCCGACCUGAGAGGGUGAUCGGCCACACUGGGACUGAGACACGGCCCAGACUCCUACGGGAGGCAGCAGUAGGGAAUCUUCCGCAAUGGGCGAAAGCCUGACGGAGCAACGCCGCGUGAGUGAAGAAGGAUUUCGGUUCGUAAAGCUCUGUUGUUAGGGAAGAAUGAUUGUAUAGUAACUAUAUACAGUAGAGACGGUACCUAACCAGAAAGCCACGGCUAACUACGUGCCAGCAGCCGCGGUAAUACGUAGGUGGCAAGCGUUGUCCGGAAUUAUUGGGCGUAAAGCGCGCGCAGGUGGUUUAAUAAGUCUGAUGUGAAAGCCCACGGCUCAACCGUGGAGGGUCAUUGGAAACUGUUAAACUUGAGUGCAGGAGAGAAAAGUGGAAUUCCUAGUGUAGCGGUGAAAUGCGUAGAGAUUAGGAGGAACACCAGUGGCGAAGGCGGCUUUUUGGCCUGUAACUGACACUGAG